CCUACGGGAGGCAGCAGUGAGGAAUAUUGGUCAAUGGCCGCAAGUCUGAACCAGCCAAGCCGCGUGCAGGACGACGGUGCUAUGCGUUGUAAACUUCUUUUGUCCAGGGAUAAAAUCAGGCACGUGUGCCUGUUUGAAAGUACUUGACGAAUAAGGAUCGGCUAACUCCGUGCCAGCAGCCGCGGUAAUACGGAGGAUCCGAGCGUUAUCCGGAUUUAUUGGGUUUAAAGGGUGCGUAGGCGGGUUGUUAAGUCAGUGGGGAAAGCUCGGGGCUCAACCCCCGAAUGGCCGUUGAUACUGGAUGUCUUGAGAUGAGGUGAGGUAGGCGGAAUGUGUGGUGUAGCGGUGAAAUGCUUAGAGAUUGCGCAGAACACCGAUUGCGAAGGCAGCUUACCAA
rnacentral:rRNA from 1 species